UCUGCUUCUUCUUCUUUUCUUUUCCUCAAUCAUGGGCGGGCGCAGUGGACUAUUCGGCCAAUCAUGGCCGUUGUUCUGAGGCCAGCGCAAUACGUCACUCGCAGGUCACAUUUAGAAAAGCACGAUUGGCUGGAAUUUCCAGCAUUUGUUUCUGAAUCCGGACACAGAUGCCUUCAAGGUUCACAAAAAAACUCCCGACAGACUUUGGCGGUAGGCUGAUGACAACUGAUUACAACCACACAUUCACGGAAUGGUCAAAUUAUCGUACAUUUGGCCUUUUUUAGGAAUAUUGAUCGUACAUCGUAUAGAGAGCAAAAACUUAAACAUUGGUUCCACCCUGAAGCAUUCAUGCAACCCUUAAAUAUGCAUUUUACAACAAUAUUACACUCAGAUAUUAAUAAACCUGAAUCAUUUUACUUUAACUUAUUUAUUUUAAAACUAUGAAAAGGACCAAAAUGCAUAACUGCCAUUCAUGGCAGCCACACCCAUUGUUUAAGGAACAUACACACCUUUUAUUUCACAAAGGUGCAUUAAAUUAGACAUGUCACAUGACGUACAAUAAACCAAUGGGAAAACAGAACAAUAAAUGAGAGCACUAAAAUACAAAAACAUUCAUAAUGUCAACACCCCCACUUGCUCACAUUUGAGUGACUCCCUCAGACUCUUAAUGUAUCAACUACAAAUACAUUUUUGAUACACCAAACAUGAACAUUUCAUACUUCCUUAACUUAAUCUGUGUUGCCGGCUUGCUUAGUACAUCUGCAACCGUGUCAUUAGUUGGACAGUACUCCUGAAUAACUUUUCCAUCAUUUACAACUUGUUAGGUAUUAAUUAGUCAACUCAGAGACAAGAACGAUAGAGUCAUAGUUACUUGCAGCAAGGGUAGCUCACUUUGCAGUGCAGACUACAACGUUUUGACACCUUAUCUCUUUAUUUAUAUGCACAGUUCAACAGACAGUUCAGACAGGGUGUGUGUGUGUGUGUGUGUGUGUGUUUGUUUGGUGUACUUGUCUUCAUAAUCAUUCAGUAUUCCAGUUGGUGCUGGACUUCUCAGGUGCGCUGGAUGACAGGUGUUUUCUAUCUGCUGAUUGCUUGGAGGAGUAUUUAAGCAGAAAGCUGCCAGCACUUCGAUGCCAGAGUGUUUGCCUUAGUGGUAACAAAUCAGCCACUACUAAUUUUUUGCUUCAUUCUUGAACUAAAGUAACUUUGUAUUUUGUUCCCAUGCAGGUUUUUACCUGAGACUUUGUUUACCUUGCUGAGUUACGACUUCGUUCCAGAGUUUCUCUGAGCAUCUGGAUUUUCAACUACUAAGUUAAGGAUCUACCUUCUUGUGGAUUUCUCUCACUACCAUCUGUAUCUUUUGGACACGGACCAAGCUGGCGGCUUCCCGUUUCCAGGACUCAGGCAUCAGCAUACUCUGUUCCAUCCUCCAUCUUAAACAUCGGCACCUAAGCUCCAUUCGGCUGGCACCAAGAUCUCAACUAAGAGGACAACUGAACGAUCUUCCUUCGCAAGUUAAGACUCUGAAUCUCUCUAGCCCUGGUGGUUCAAGCCACAACAAUCUAUUGGUGUUUCCAGCCCACAUCCCAGAUUACUUUGCUGACAAUAAAAUCCAUAAAACUUUCUCUUCUGAGUGUUCUUUGUAUGUGGGUCAGAUCUAUACAGAAAAUGACACUUUCCCUCUUUGAAGAUUACAGUUGCUUCGCUGGAUGUGGCAGCAUUCACUAAGAUGUCGUGCAGAUAUGAUGGGAUGUACCUCAGCACCGUUUUAAGACGUUGACCUCUGCUUCCCCUCGUUGCUUAGCAACCCCAAGGCACCUUGUUCCAUCCGCCAAUCCCAUGCAGUGUGUCUCGGCCUGGAAACUUUCAUCAAACCUCCAGAACUUCCUGAUGUCGGUGAUAAAGCUGUGACGUUGCUCCGGCAUCCACCAUCAGACCUCUUUCUUGCCGGUACUCUCCUCUUUGGCUAAUUUGCGUGCGUUGUCCCUCUGCAGGUUCUGUUGCUGUUAUUUUUACAGUGACUGCAACAGUUUCUGAUGGCAGAUUCUGCUUGUGUGGCCUUUCAUCCCAAACUUAAAGCACACGAUUUCAGAACUUCAGACUCCAAGAUCAUUUGCAACUCUAGGUGCGCAUUUUUUCCCUGAGUGUGCCUUAGCUUUCAUCACAUUGUCUUUAGAUACACUGGCGCGCAUAUUUUCUAUGUCUUCAUAGCUUCUGAGUUUGGUCUUGAACUCUGCAAAAGUCAAUUUAUCUCCAUCUUCGCUUUGAGUGAUAUAAAUAGUAAAUGGUUUAAAUACCUCUGGAAGCCCCUCCAGAACCAUAGCUAUCAAAAGUCCAUCACUCAAAUCCUCACCUGCGCUUCUUAAAGCGGUGAUUGCGGCCUCAGCUCUGUUGAUGUACUCGGUUACCGACCCACUCGUGGAUUUCUGCAGUGACGUCCGUUCAGUAUACAGAUUAAUUACCGUGGACCCAGAGUCACUUUUUGACGCAACAUUAAACACGACAUGCAUAAUGCUCAACUCGGCUCCGUGGUAUUUCUCCCAUUGUUUAAGGAGCACACACACAUUUAUUUCACACAGGUGCAUUCAUUUAGACAUGUCACGUGACGUACAAUAAACCAAUGGGAAAACAGAACCAUAAAUUACAAAAAUAUUCAUGUCAACAAUCCUGCUUUCAUCAGUCCAUGAAAUGUUUUUCUGUUUGUCUUUAUGCCAGUGAAUGGAGAAUGCAAAAUUCAUAGAUAACUGUAGACCAGAGAGGCCCCAAACCUGGUCCUCAGGGACCACUUUCCUGCAUGCUUUAAGUGUUUCUCUUUUGCAGCACACCUGACUUAAAUGAAUGGGUGAUUAACAUGCUUCUGUAGCACUUGAUGGUAUAUGAGUAGUGGAAAUAACCAUAAGCUUAUUUUGGGACAGCAAAUUAGAAAGUGUUCCAUUUUUGUUUGAAGUUUCUGAAUGAGGUCGUUGACUUCCUGUUUUUGAGCUGCAUGCUUUUAUUUUGAACUUACUUCCUGUCUAACGCAGUUGUACAGAAGGUGGCAUGUUUUCCACAAGUACGGCAUAAGUUUCACACGGAGCCACGGUGAACAUUAUUUUAUACUGGCAGCCCUCCGGAGAGGCCAAAGGUCCAUUGAUUUAAGCAUUUAAAAUUCAAGAGUAUUUGUCUGUUGAUAUGUUUGCAUAAACUGAAGACUGGAAUGAUGCAAACUUAGUUACAUAUAUUUAUAUGUGUUGCAGCUCAGUGAUUCACAGAAUGGAACAAGAUUUAAAAGGAAUAAAAUCUCAUAAAACCAUCA